GCAGUGAACUUUAAACAACAACAAAAAAAUGAAUCUGCCUUUGUUUCACUCUGGCUCUGGGCUUGUGGGGAAACUCCAUGAGCAGAAGCUUGUGUGGCCCUCACCCCGUCAGAUGAGAGCUCACCACAGGGAUGAAGCUGAGGUUCCCGGAGGCCAGAUUCUCGGUCGUGUACACUGACAGACAAGCCUUCCCACCACUAAGAAAAGCCUCAGCCGCCUCACUGCCUCAGAUGCCUCUGAAUCCAGGUGUGUUCACCACGAGUAAUGAAAAUCAACACACCGAACCAACAAAAUUGGUUAUAUCUCAUGUGCUUUGAAUGAUGCUAUUAAAAAU
ensembl:lncRNA